ACUUUGUCCUUGCUUCACAGGCAGGGAUGGUAUGAGUAGAAUGAAAAAGGCAGACCCAAGUAAAUACUACAGUCUGAAAAGGGAAAUGUGAUACCCCAGGAAGCAUCCGCAUUGCUUAAAUGGAUUCGUGCGAGGGGCUUUAGCGAGCAGACAUUGAUUGGCUUCUCUCUGGGGCCCGCUGCAGGCCCGACGGGUUCUGCUUUGACACAGGCAGCAAAUGAAAUACGACCUCCUGUAAACGGGCCUGAGCUUCUGGGCCUUUGUGGAAUCCGGGAGCUAAGGACCUUUUCAAUCCCUUUUAAUUAAUGAAGUGAUUUGACUUGACUGAGAUUACACUUGCAAUAAUGAAUUAAAAAGUAAUAAAAAGAAAUCUCUUAACAAAUAUGCAACAGGGAAUGGGGACCAAAUUCAGUGAGCAUCUGAUCCCCACUGCAUAUCUCAUUUCUGUGUGCAUUCAGAUCGAUAGUUUUAAAAGGGAGGCUCUUAUUUUCCAAGCACUGGCAUCUGCAUGCUUCAUUUUUUUCAAGUGCUUUUG